rnacentral:rRNA from 1 species
CCUACGGGAGGCAGCAGUAGGGAAUAUUGCGCAAUGGGCGAAAGCCUGACGCAGCGACGCCGCGUGAGGGAUGAAGGUCUUCGGAUCGUAAACCUCUGUUAGCAGGGAAGAAUGGUUACUGUGUUACUAAGCAGUGAAUUGACGGUACCUGCAAAGGAAGCACCGGCUAACUCCGUGCCAGCAGCCGCGGUAAUACGGAGGGUGCGAGCGUUAAUCGGAAUUAUUGGGCGUAAAGCGCUCGUAGGCGGUAUGUUAAGUCAAGGGUGAAAUCCCAGCGCUCAACGGUGGAGCUGCCUUUGAAACUGGUAAACUGGAGUGUGUGAGAGGAUAGUGGAAUUCCAGGUGUAGGAGUGAAAUCCGUAGAUAUCUGGAGGAACAUCAGUGGCGAAGGCGACUAUCUGGCACAUAACUGACGCUGAGGAGCGAAAGCGUGGGUAGCAAACAGGAUUAGAUACCCCUGUAGUC